UCGGCAUGUCUGCCGUCAGGACGGACACAUAAAUACCUGGACGUCCAGAUGCUGCUUUCACUGUCAGAGUGUCUGCAGGUGGACGACAGAAGAGGAGGCUGAGAGACAACAACAUGGUCCCACUGAGGCUGGUCGCCUUCGGCUUGCUGGCUGCAGCUUGGUACUUCACUCGUGCUGCUGAGGGAGAGGUCAUCUACGCCUGCGUCAAUGAAACUGCUGAGA